GUGCAUCACCCCAUGACUCAGUAGCUGGGCUUGGUUCUAACUUCAGGAGUCUGACUCUGUGUUGUUUAUUUUAGGCAUAUUUAAACACAACACAAUCUGGUGAAAACUAUUCUUGUGAAGAUUAGCUCAGUCCCACGUGCACAACAAAGCAUACCUAAAUCUCUUUGAGGAACAAAGUAAGCUAAAUACAGAGUAAGUGUGACUACAUCAAAACUCUGUAAAGCACCUUUCAUAAGGAUAGGUUCUGUAGACCGACUGAGAGAAAGGUCUGGAGGAGGGUCUGGUGCCAGAAAAUCUUCAGACACAGACUGUGCAAAGGUCAGCAGGCUAGAAAGCAUGUCCGCUCCAGCCUUCUGGACAGAAAGCAGGUUUGACAUUCCUUCCCUUAAAGGAACAACCCUGUGUGCUUCACAUUCCAGGUUCCCCUGAUGCUCGCCUGACAGCCCAGGGACCUCUCUCUGCACCUCCUACACUGCCCAGCUUGAGUUCCUGCCCACACUGCUUUUGAUGAUGAACCAUUAUAUGGAACUCUGAGGGAAAUAUAAACCCUUUCCCUCCCAAGUUGCUUUUGCUCAUGGUGUUAUUACAACAAUAAUAACCCUAUGAUAUUACCCAACUUUAUAUUCUCUCUCCCUCUGAACGAUCUGAUUUUUGUUCUUAGAUUCCUUUGUUCAGCAUGAUGUUGAUAAGAUUGGUUCUUUUCCAUUGCUCUAUUCAUUCCUUCUCACGGACAUACUGUACCAUGUCAGAGGGCAUUGGGAUGCUUCAUGAAACCCAGCUCCCAUGUUAUAGGAACACUCAAAAGAAGUAUGAAGAAAGAAAUGAUCCCUCUAGCCUAUGAUCAUGUGAAACUAUUUUAAAAUGGAUGUUCGAGCCCUGGUCAGGCCUUCAGAUGACUGCGGCUCUGAGAGGUCGCUUUGUAAACUCCCGAGAUAGCCCAGUACAGACCACCUGAUUCUCAGACAUGGCGUAAGAAGAGCAAGCUUGUUGUUUAAAACUGCUGUGUUUAGAGCAACUUGUUAUGAAGAAAUUGGAUAUCGUGGCCUGCGGAUGUCGCUCAGUUGGUAGGGUGCUUGCCAAACAAGCGCAAAGUUCUGGGUCCAAUCCCUACCAUCAUAUAAACUGGGCCUGGUGGUAAAAGCCUAUAAUCCCAGCACUUGGGAGGUGGAGACACAAGGAUCAGAAGUUUAAGGUCUCCUUGGCUACUUAGCAAGUUUGAGACCAACCCCUUUCUCUCCCUCUCUCUGAAAAAGAAAAAGAAAGUGAGAAAAGAAACCAUGGGGCUCGUGACACCUGAGUUCAAAUCCUAGAACUCCCUGCAGAAGGAGACCCUGAGCCCUGAAAGUUUUCCUCUGACCUUCCCACACGUGCUGGGGCACAUGAGUAUGGGCAUUCAGACAAAUGCAUAUCACAUGCACAUUCACAAAUAAUAAUAAUAAGUAGGUUAGAUUUAAAAAGGAAGUUGGUAAUUAAUGCAGACUCUGGGUAGAACCUUGUGAGACCUACACUAGAGAGGCCUAACUCAGCAUCAGUCAGAACAUCAUUAUGGUAAUUGACCUCUGCCUAGGUUAAUAGCUGAGACUCCUAGGUAGUCAUAGCAGAAACGACUAAUUGUUUUUAAUCAAAAUUUGUCAUCAAACUUUGAUUGUGUCUCUAUCAGAAGGUCAUGCCCAUGUGUCCACUUUCUGUUACUGAAAGAAAUGCCUGAGAUUAUCCGCUUAGGGAAGGUUUGUUUGGGUUCAUGAUUUCAGAGGUUUGACUCCAUGAUUCAUUGGCCCUGUUGCUCUAGGUUUGUGGUAAAAUAUCAAGGCUGAAGCCUGUGGUGGAGCAAGACUAGUUCCCUAAAGCAUGGACAGAAUAGACAGAGAAGAGAAAACUGCGUAUUAAGAUUCCAGAUGAGGCCUGGGAUUCAAUCCCUGGUACCCCAGUCUAAGAAGAGAGAGACCCAGAAUCGCCUCUGAGCGCAUCCUCCCACGAUCCGGCCUCUGACAGUUCUACUACCUCUGAGGUGUGCCAAGCUGUGAACCAAGCCUUUAGCGCGUGAGCCUUUGACGGACCCAGAUGGGAACUGCAGCACUGGUCGGGCCUUGAGGUUCCAAACCUUCCUUUGCAUCCUAUAAAAUGAUGCUGGGUGCCAGGCAAGCUGAGAUUCCCAGCGGCCAGUAUGAAAACAAUGGGAAGCCAUAGAUGGGACAUGAGCUGGCAUUAUGAUCUUGGCUUAGCUACUUGUGUGCCCUUUGACCAUUAAUUUAAUCACUCAAAUCUUUAUAUCUUCUCCUUUACAAAGGAGAUAGUCCCUAUUCUGUGUGCUUCAUUGGGUCAGUAGAACAAUAGAAGCAGUGAAGGUUUUUAAAACAUUAAAUACUGGGCUGAGAAUGUAGGUCAGCUGAGGGCUUACCUAGCAUGCACAAGGCAUUAGGUUUGAUCCCCAGCACCUCCUCAGACUAGGUGUGGUGGCUCACCCUGGAAGCGGAGGCAGAAGUAUCAGGAAUUCGAGGUCAUUCUCAUCUAUAUAGAGAAUUUAAGACCAACCAGGGGUACAUCUCAACUAAACAUUAUAUAAUUACCAGUUUUUAACAUGGAAGGGAUUUUAACAUGUGACUUAAUUCUUAUUUAAUGCUUGCCUCUAGAGUAUUGUUUGAGAUCACUGAAACAUUCAGGAUUAUUAAAAAUCAGUACUAAUAGCAGGAACAAUUUUUUCUCAGGUCUUUUUCGAAUGUGAAUCACCAUCCGUGAUGGAAAAUUGGCUUUGCAGGGUGUAUAUUCCUAAACACAUUUCAUUUGAGAAGAUCAGACAGCACUAUAGUUCUGGAAGGAAAGGAGAAAUAGAUUCCUACCUAAAUUUUGCCCUGAGUAACUUAGCUUCCCUCCCCUCCUGACUGGCCAGAUUUGAUCUAGAUGGCUGGGUGACCUGCGGUAGCAAGAGGAAGCCAGCCCUGCGUUUUCAGACUUCAGUGCCUCCCCUCAAACAGAAUGCGUCUUUCUGGAUUCCUGAGCUCAAGACCAACUGAACUGGACCGUCAGGAACGUGACAGUCGCCAGGGAGAGGCAGAGCAGUCUGUCCCACUUCCUGCAGGCUCUCUGAGCUUGCUGUGCCUGCUCAGCAGCCGUGAACUUGCACCCUGGCGAUCUUCGCCCCAUCCCAGCCCCAAGCUCACCUCUUAACUCUGUGUUCUCCAUCUUCUCUGCUCAUUUACGACAUUUCAGCACCAUCAUCGUAGAAGGUUUAUUUUCCUUUUAAGGAAAUGUACAAUAAAUAACAUGGAAAACAGCUGUUUAUUUUUUGUACACACACACACACAUACACAUACAUACACACACACACAUACACACACACACACAGAGUCAGAGAGACACGGAGAGUGAUGAGCACAGAUGCACAUAUACACAGAGGCCAGCAGAGGAUCAGGUAUUCUGCUUUAUUGUUCAGCUACUCCGUCUUACUAUCUUGCAACCCUGGAGAUAGCCUGACAGCCAACAAGCCCUAACAAUUGUCCAGUCUCCACCCCAUAGCUCUGGAGUUACAGGGAAAUACUCUACCACGUCCAGUUCUUUUUACCUGGGUUCUGGGAUUUGAACUCAGAUCCCUGUGUUUGUACAGCAAGCAGUCUUACCCACUGAGCUACGUCCUUCGCCUUAUACACAGACUGUAUUUGGUUUUGUUUUCUGAGACAGGGUCUCACUAUUGUAGCCCAGGCUGUCCUUGAAUCUCUACCUUCUCACUCGUCUAAUAACUGUGAAGUAUCUCCUCGUGAUUUAUGAUAAACACUGACUUACUGCAUUUUAAAUUCUUACAGGUGCUAACUUAACAUUGUAAAAUUUUAAGAUUUAUUUUUGUUAUUUUUAAAUUAUGUGUGUAUCUUCUUUGUGGAGGUAUGCGCAUGUCUUUGUCAGAGAGGCUGGCUCUCCUUGGAGCUUGAGUUACAGGUUGUGAGCCACUUGACUUGGGUGCUAGGAACCAAACUCAGGUGCUCUGUAAGAGAAGUAUGUAUUCUUAACCGCUCAGCCAUCUCCAAGCCCCAACACUGUAAAUUUAUUAACUCAGAUUAUUCUGGGUUAACCUAUAUAUUUGCUUAUUAUUGUGAGUAUAAAAACCAGUCAACUGGGUCAGUGGCCUCUAGGUGACAGGUCACAAUGGUGAAGUUACUUGGCCUUCCCUGAUAAAGAAGUAAAAUGAUGAAGGACAGAUGUCCCUGACCUAAUUUAUGAAUAAGUUUAAGGAGAAGAAUUUUCAGUGAAUUCUGUAAAGACUUGGGUGCUCUAUUCAACCUGAUAAUUAAGUGUCCAGUUAACGUGGGCUUUCAAAGUAAUAUUCGAAAGGAGGGUAACCCUAGGCAAAUAGAUUUCCAGGACAUACGAGGGUUAGGUGGCUGACUUUUAGGGAUCAUUUGUACUGGGAGUGAAGAGUUCCAUAAUACUGCAUGUAUUGACUCCUAAAAGAAAUGAACAUUUUUUUUCUGUAAAUGGGGAGGAAAUGUCUUAGACUAUGAAAGCACAUACCCUGACUCUAAGUUCCAUUGCACAAAGAAAAAAAUGGAGUGAGUCAAUUAAAAUUUUCCAUUCCAUCUCAUUUGAAAACUUGCCUUGUCUUCAGAGAGAGAAAGCAGAGGCCAGGCAGAAGAUUUCCAGUUUAAUCCCCAGAACUAGAAAAUGAAAAGCAUAGGAGAGUUAACUGUGACCAUCACAGGCAAGCUGCACGUCCUUUGACUUUCAUACCUGUGAGAACGAGUUGCAGAGUUAGUUCUGAGUUUAACCCCUGUACCACAGCUGGCUGUCACUCUAGGCCCAGGGAACCUGACGCCCACUCCUGGCCCCUGUACGCAUCAGGCAUGCAUGUAGCACACAGACGCGCAUUCACGCAAAACGUUCAUAGACAUAAAAUAAUAAACCGAUUUUUAAGUUAAAAUCGUAUUGCAUUUUGUUUAGUAUGUGCGUACAUGUGUGUAUGUAUGCACAUGUAUGUGAGUAUAUGAAUGGAGCUCAGAAAGAAACUUGCCAGAAUCACUUCCUUUCUUCCAUAUGUGUCCCAGGGAUAGAACUCAAUGUAGCAUGAUUAAUAAAAACCCAGAAACAGAAAUCGGAGUCAACCUGAAGGUCAGAAAAGCAAAACAGCCAGUCACUGGCUCUUACCUCUACCUCAGUCCGAAAUGGCGAUUCUGUCUCCAGGAAUCUCAGAAUGAGACUGUGUCUGUGAGCUGUC